rnacentral:rRNA from 1 species
CAGCAGCCACGGUAAUACGAAGGGUGCAAGCGUUACUCGGAAUUACUGGGAGUAAAGCGUGCGUAGGUGGUGGUUUAAGUCCGUUGUGAAAGCCCUGGGCUCAACCUGGGAAUUGCAGUGGAUACUGGGUCACUAGAGUGUGGUAGAGGAUAGUGGAAUUUCCGGUGUAGCAGUGAAAUGCGUAGAGAUCGGAAGGAACAUCUGUGGCGAAGGCGACUAUCUGGGCCAACACUGACACUGAGGCACGAAAGCGUGGGGAGCAAACAGGAUUAGAUACCCCAGUAGUCCCUGUCUCUUAUAC